rnacentral:tRNA from 1 species
CAGAGAAUAGUUUAUGUAAAAUAUUAAUUUUGGGGAUUAAUGAAGGGUUAUCUUUUCUCUGA